rnacentral:lncRNA from 1 species
UGAUGAAAACUUUCAAAUUAGACGAACAUUUUCAAUUAGAUGAACUUUUUUCAAAAUCCACGAAAUUUAGUCAAAUUUGAUGAACUUUUUUGAAAUUUGAUUUUCUUAAAAUUCAUGAAAAAAAUUAAAAACCGGUGAACAUUGUUUUGAAUUCACGAACAUUUUCUUUUUUGCAGAAAAAAAUCGUUUCUUUUUCAACUGCGAUCGAGUGAACCAGGGGGGUAUAAAAUGCAAUCGAGCGCUAGGAUCUACAGGGGUCGGCACACCAGCAUUGGUGUGUGGGCGCCAGGGAGCUUUCCUGGUGCCGGAAGCGCCGAAUAGGAGCACCCAGACUGGGGUGUGAGGACAAAAAUGGUGGGCUUUCCUUUGUGCUACCUGCUCAGAUUUGAUGAUGUAGUUCCGUCAUUGAUAACGUGUACGGUCCACCGUCAAAAGUUAGCUAGAAAUUCAUGCUAUGUGUGUUUCACGUUUGUGAAAGUUUAUGUUGUUUUGGUUACGCAAGGUUUUUUUAGAACUUAUCAGUAAAUGAAAAAGGUAUCAUAAAUUUCCGUUGUAUAUCGGCAAGAUCCACGUGCACGAAUCUCCAUCUCUUUAUGGACGGCAGGUCCAUGCACGCCAGUACUCCCUCUCUCUCAGUUUACAGGGCAUGCGCGUAUCCCUAAGUCGUCAAUUUGACCAAUCUAAUAGAAGUCAUAUAUUACAAAAAAUAUACCAAUAUAAACUUUAGAUGUUCUAUUUUUAAAAGGUAUAAUUUUUGUGUUAUAUAGUUUAUAUUAGGGUGAUAAAAUUGGCAACCUAGGUAUACGCGUAGGACUUGUAAACUGAGACGGAGGGAGUAUUAUCUUCGGUCCAAAAUUAAGUAUCUGGACUAUAUAUUACAACUUUACAUUAAAGUUAAUGCGUACAAAGUUGAGACACUUAUUUUGAGACGGAGAGUAUAUUGUAUGCAUGCUACUCUUUGUGUGACGUGUAAGUUUGGUAAGAAUCUAAUCUAACAGAGAGAUCCGAUGACAUGAAGAGGAGAAAGAAGGGUCACCUGUCACAUCGAUCUUCAUAUUUUUGUGAAUUUCGCUGCUUUAUUCAGUGACUAGGUAGGAAAUGCGGCUUGCCGCACCCGGCAGCACCGCUGCCGGGUACAAUUUAUAUCCAAUCCGGUAAUACAAUAAUUAAAGCAUUGCAAAUAUAAAAAUAGCAAGAUAUUGCAGCCUGCCGCACCCCAUCCAGUCCCGUUUUAGCUAAUCCGGUAGUACGGUAUACAUCUAUUCAGUCUAACAAUCCAACACCUGGUAGUAUUACUCAAAAGGCAGAAGAUAACAUUUACUUACAGCAGUAAUGGUCCAAUGCAAAACAUCAAAUCUCGUUACAAACCAUUGGUGCAUUUGUUAAAAAAUGUAGCAUGAAAUACCUAAAGAUCAAGGUUUGAUACGAUAUACCAAAAGCAGGCCAUAUAAGUUGUUUACACUGCUUUAAUACAACAUAGUACUAAACUAUGUAGUUGGCUAUGAUUAGCUUGCUCCAAACACCUUGUCAUCUGAUUUGCUUGAGUGUUGCGAUGGACGCAUCUGCUGAAAGACAUCUCGUGUUAGCCAAAUUAUUAAUAUAGUGUGUUUUAUGUAUAGCAAGAAAACAAUUCAUGCACUGACCCCCUAUGAAAGGUUUUGGACAGUGGGUAAUAGGUGGUCCUCCUAAUCCAUAAAAAUGAAGACACAUGUAUGAACUUCCUUAAAUUUUGGUGACUGUUUCAGAGGGCAUGGUUAUGUCCAUCCUAACUCAUGACAUCUUAUGUGCUUUGAAAUCAUUGAGCUAACAUCGUACAAUCACAUAAGUAAUUACUGGUCUUUUCAUAACAUAGUCAGAUAAAAGUAAGUAAGCACAAAGAUUAUUUGAGAAAUUCAAAUACUUUUGACCGAGUCCAUGACCAGCUCAAUGUUUGGCUAACAGAAUGAUUGGAUACUACACCACUGAUAGUUUUAACCAACAUAUGAGAAAUUGAAAUACUUCUGAUUGAGUCCAGAGUCAACUCAAUGUCUGGCUGACAGAAUGAUGGGAUUAUUACACUACUGCAAAUUAGGACUGAGUAAUACUUAAAGCAAUAUGAUAUGUUGUCGCCAAUUUACCUACUUACCUUCGUUCCCUCAUGAUAUGAUGUGUAGCAAAGUUUGGCGAGGUUAGGCCUGAACACAGACAUAAGAAAAGAGCAUGAGCAAGAACCAAUAACAUAUACAUCUUUUAUCGACCUGUCAUAGAUAAUGUAGGAUAAACAAAUUAAAUAUGCUUUUGAAAAAGAAUGUAAAUUUCCACCACCGUAAACUGAAAUUAAAUAUAGAAACCCAAUUAGUCAUGUUCUAUUUCAGUAUUUUAUAUCUAAAAGAAUGAGGCAGGAGCAAGUAGAACAAAGGGUUUUAAUGGAGAAUAUACAUGCAAAACAUAAGGCCAUUCACAAACAAAGGGGAAAGGGCAGAGACGACUUCUGAAUGUCAUACAAAAUGGUUAUAUAACAAAAUUCAUCCAAAGCUAAAGGAAGAGGUCAUGGGCCAUGCUAUAAACCUUGCUCCUGUUAUAUAAUUGCUUGGAAGCCACAACAAUCCAAACCAUGAUAGGAUCAUGAAGAAAAUUAGCAAUCAACAUAAUAGGUGCAGAUUCAGGACAUGGUUCAAUUUUCUUUCAACAAGGAAAUAUGCAAAGGUGAGAUUGGUUACAUCUAGCAUUAAUUUCAUAUCCUAAUCCACCGAGGCAUCACACAUAACCAAUCCGUGUCAUAGAACGAAGGUGGAGAAACCGCACAUACAGAGUGGGACGAAGCGCAGGAGAAGGAAGAUAGGAGUGUGUGUACCUCAAAGAGGGCCAAACGCGUUGACGGGCUGUGUUGCUCUUGUCGCUGCUCCUUGAGCGCUUGGGGGAAGGGAGAGAAGGAGCGUAACAUCAACAAACUGUCCAAUCCGGUAAUACAUACAUUUAAUACUCGACUGUAAAACUACAGACAUUCAUACAUGAAUAAAAAAAGAAUUAAUACUCUACAUAGCCGACGAAGUACUUAUGAAUGAAAAAAAGGUAUCUGAUAAUUCAGAAAAGAAAAAUUGGUACCCAGAAGUAGCUAGUUACUACUAUUUCCUGAUGUUUGUUCUGCACAUCCAUUUCAAUUGAUUGUAUAGAGGCCAAUAUGUUAAAGACAGAGGAAUGCAAGAGGCGCAUAGUACUAACAAACUUGAUUACGCUAUCAAACAGUGUACAGCUAAACAAGAAGUGUGUGAUUGUACAACAAUAAACGCACAGAAUGAGCAUAUAACAUUUAGGAAAUGACCUUCUUCUCUGAUAGCUCAUGAAACAUACUGAAUGCCAACAACAUAAAUUAAAUAUACAAGGAAGCAACCAAAUAAAUGAGACACUAUAUGUGAAUAAUAUACAAAAAAAGAAGACGAUAGUUUCUCUGUUCAUAUAGAUCAGGUAUGAACCAUAAAUGUGUAUCUCUAGCACCACUGGGCCCUGUUUGAAACAGAGAAGUAAACCAGGAAUUUUAAGUCAGCCGUGCUCGUUGUCUAUCAGGUAUGGAACAAAGUAAAUGACCCUUCUUCUAUGUAUAUAUGGGCCCAGCUGGUUGCUUCAAACCAAAAACAAGUGAAGCACGCUCGAGGUCUUUAUAAAAAGACAAGACUUGUUAAAACAUGUUCACGACAUGAUCUUAUUUCCAUAGUGGUAUUAUAUUUUAUGAAUAUAGAGAAACUGAGGCUAGAUACAAAUUUAGUGAAUGUUCGUAUCAUAAAAGCCCGGAGUGGAACAAACUUUAUCACUUACGAUGUUUAAAUCUAUUGUGUGUUCUGCUAUAUCUAAAAUAGAGGGGGACCAGUAUGGUAAUAUCUUUGGAAUUCUGAUGGCCAAUUUAUCAAGAAUCUGUUGUUGGCAAGAAAAUUUGUAACACAUAUUGGUGAAAUGCAGUCAAUUAUUAUGUGUAAGAGGUCAACCGAUGGGUAGAUACAUAAUGGGCUCAUGAAGAAGAAUGGAGGGAGUCACCUGUGGAACAGAGCCAACAUUUAUAUUAUUUUUGCAGUCGUUGGAUCCAGUGUCUUUAUUUUGAUCUUCGAUUUGGCUGGUUAAAGUGAACAACUUCUUCUGCAAAUCACUUUCAUGGCUUUCAAAAAGCAUUGCGAGUAGCUUUGUCUGACACCUUGGUCACAGAACAAAUUUAUUUCCUUGCAGAUCCACUGGUAUUACUUGGUGAUUGAAUCAUAACUGACAAACCUACCAUAUUACUUGAGAUGCAACCAGUAAAAGCAAAGUUUGUGAAAGAACAAAUUAAGGCUUUGACAAUGUCUGAACAAUCCAUAUGACACUAAAUGGAAGUACAUGAUGAUGUUAUAUACCAUAACAUGGAUGGUUCUAGCAUCAGUUCUUGGUGUAGUUAGUCGCCAAUGCGGAGAGGGCAGAAAUAAUGGUGCUCACUUGGUCGCUCGGCAACCUCACCACCCAACUAAGGUGCAAGCUACUCCUGCAGAGAAACAUCAAAAGCAUAUGAUACAUCAGUGGAUAUUAGUAUAUCACUCAUCGAGAUAAUUUCUAUACAACUAAAGUUCGGAUAGACAAAUUCAACACCGAAAUGAUCCACUCUAAGAUCAGAUUGUUCAAUGAAAUUUUAUAUUGCACUUUUUAUCCCUAAGUAGAAUAAAAGAUCUGUACAAAAGCUGCAAUAAAAUCCUAUCAACCUAAGGGAGUGAAUCAAACUAAUCAACCAAGUGAAUGUACUGAACAUAAGAACUUGUUAUAGGGAUACGUCAGGAAAUAGAUCACACCUUAUCUAGUAUUGUGCCUCUCUUCAUUGUCACAUAAGAAAUUGUGCUAUAGGAUCUUUUCCCAGCCAAGUGAAAUGACGAGAAUGCCCUCGGCGGGGCAGCGUAAUUACGCGCGGUGGCACGGCCAGGCGGGACAUGGCUGUAGGAAAAAUAUCCGACGGCUGGAGACGGCCAAGCCCGAGAUCCAAUGGCCAGAACGCAAUCAGGAAACCGAUCCGACGGCUGAGAAUCCAAACGAACGGGGAAGCUCCAUUUUGCUUCAGACUCUAACAAGGGGAUUAAUUGUCCGAAAUCCGUGCCAAGUUUGCUUACUUGCCUGGCCCUACCUCUAAAUAUGUCUAGAUACAUCCAUUUUCAAGACAAAUAAUUCCGAACAAUAAACAAUAGUAACAUUGAGUAUCGCAUGAAGUUGCUCUUAGCUCGUUAGGAGGUCGCCAUCGCAAAACUAACUAGACAGUGGACGUCACAUCCAUCUACCAAGCUACUGUAUAUCUUAGUAGCUGCUAUCCAUAGCUCAACCAGACGCUGUGGAAGUUGUACACGAUAAGACAUUAUUUUUCUUCGAGCUAGGCUUGCUUAGCGUAACCUGAUGUAGCAUCUCUGUGCGUGCAUGCAUAUAUUUUUUUUUCUUUCAAAAAGUGGGGAAAAUCCUCAUGCCUCUGUAUCGAGUGAUCCACACAAUCAUAUAAUUUUUUAGUUACUGAUAAUCAUGACAGCAUCAUGUAUAAAUCAAUUUACAAAGAGGGAAAAGGAAAAGCUCGAAGCCAUUCACAUAGGACAUGCUUCAUGACAGCAUCCCUAUGUUGUACCUGCAACGACAUAUUAGCAGGCAAAGGACAUAAAUACUUUAAGACAGCGCCUUCAAAAAGGACCUGCCUCCAAGACAACGUGCAGAAGUGUAGUUCUGCUACCAUGUAUACAUUUAUACUUUCACCGUUCCUAAAUAUUGUUGGAUAAUCAGCAACUAGUAUUCACUGAGGGCUAUAGGCCAUUACAUAUACAUGUGUGGUAAAGUGCAAGAAACUCCUUAUACAAUGGGAUGUACCGAAAAGGGAAUAUACACAUCUAACCCCCCCUCCCCCCCCCCCUCAAACUCAUGGUGGAUCAACAACACUGAGUUUGGAGUGAAGAAAACUAUGCUGCGCUCGAGUCUGUGUCUUCGUGAAGAAGUCCGCCAACUGUAACUCCGAGGGUACAUAGUGGAGAGCGAGAGCCUGAUCCUGCACAGCAGCACGCACAAAGUGCGCAUCCACAUCGAUGUGUUUGGUGAGCUCAUGCUUCACCGGGUCACGUGCAAUACUGAUAGCACCGAUACUGUCUGACAGUAAGGGGGUCGAGGUAGUACACCAAAAUCCUCAAGUAACCACUAUAAUCAGAUCACCUCAGCCGUCAACAUAGUCAUGGCUCGCAACUCAGCCUCUGUACUCAAGCGAGAAACUGCAGUCUGUUUCUUUGUCUUCCAGGCAAUAAGAGAGCCACCAAGAAAGACACAGUAAGCAGACAGCGAGCGUCGGUCAAAGGGAUCGCUAGCCCAGGUAGCAUCAGAGUAGGCCUGAAGCUCAAGAGAGCUGGAGCGGGGAAAGAAAAGGCGCUGAGAAAUCGUGCCACGAAGAUAUCGCAAAACACUGAGGAGGUGACUAUAGUGGACAGAGGUGGGGGCUGAAACGAACUGACUCAGGAUGUGGACAAAACAGGAGAUGUCAGGACGCGUAACAGCAAGAUAGACAAGACAGCAAACGAGGUGACGUUAGCGAGUGGGAUUAGGAAGAGGGUCACCAUCAGAGGCACGAAGCUGAAUGUUGAGCUCCAUAGGAGUCACCACUGUGCGCUCAUCACCGAGAGCAGCGCGAGUAAGAAGAUCCUGAAUAUAUUUUUCUUGGGAGAUGUAGAAGCCAUUAGAGGUAGAGGAGAUCUCAAUCCCAAGAAAAUAGCGAAGCGGGCCAAGAUCAGUCAUGAGAAACUGGUCGCGAAGGCGAGCCUUAACAAAGGCAAUGUAGUUAGAGUAAUCACCAGUGAUGAUCAUGUCAUCAACAUAGAGAAGGAGGAGAGUCCGACCACGUGGAGACAUGUGAACAAACAAUAUUGGAUCAUGAUCACGGGGCAAGAAAUCAGCGGCAGUCACCACAGAGGUGAAGCUCUCAAACCAGGCGCGAGGGGCAUGUUUAAGACCAUAGAGGGAGCAGCGAAGUCGACAGACCAGACCCUCAGGAGCAUAGUACCCUAGUGGUGGCUGCAUAUAAACCUCCUCACGCAACUCGCCAUUGAGAAAGGCGUUCUGCAGAUCAAGUUGAGAGAUAGACCAAUGACGAACAGAAGCCAGCAAGGAGAGUGCGGAUAGUGGUCAUGUGAGCCACAGGAGCGAAUGUCUCAUCAUAAUCGCAUCCCUGCUCCUGCUGGAAGCCACGGGCCACAAACGAGCUUUGUAGCGCUCAAGAGAACCAUCAGAGCGAGUCUUAAUCUUGUAGACCCACUUGCAGCUGAUGGGACGAAUACCGGAAGAGAGGGAAACCAGAUCCCAGGUGCCAGAGCGCUCAAGGGCAACAAGCUCUUCAGCCAUCGCAAGCGGCCAUUCAGGCUGAGUCAUGGCAGUCAGAUAGGAAGUGGGCUCAGCAAUAGCAGAGAGACCGUACCGAUUAGGAGAAUAGCGAUCGGGCGGGGGGUAAGGCCGAGCAGGGAGGUUAUGAACCAGGGGAGGUGUGAACGAAGGUGCACCAGAGGUGGAAGGCGCACCAGGCACGUCAGGGGAAGCAUCCUCAAUACGAGGGCGGCGAGUAUAGUGGAGAGGAAAUGGUGAGAGAGGGCAACGGACUGGAGAUGAUGGUGGAGAGGUUGAGGAGGAGGAGGAUGGGGAAGAUGGUGUCGGUGGUGAAUGAGAAUGAAUGAGAGGUGCCGGAGGAAGAGCUGACACAUGAGGCACAUAGCAGGGUGUCUCGAGAAGAAGAAGAAACGAAAUAUCGCCCACAGAGAAGCUUGAGGAAGAAGGACGUGGGUAGUAAGAAUGAGACUCGUCAAAAGUCACAUCACGCGAGAUGCGCAAGCGACGACCAACAGGAUCCCAACAACGAUAGCCCUUGUGCUCAUCACUGUAGCCAAGGAAAACACACUCAACCGACUGAGCAGUCAGUUUGGUGCGUUCUCUGGGGGCAAGAAGGAUAUAGCACACACAUCCAAACAUACGAAGAGCUGAGUAGUCAGGAGAACGACCAGUGAGACACUCCAGAGGAAUACCACCCUGCAAAGCAGUCGAUGACUGAAUGUUGAUGAGAUAGAUGGAUGCACAGCCUCGGCACAAAAGUGGGGUGGAGGAGAAGCGGCAAUCAUCAGCGCACGAGCCAUCUCAAGCAGAUGAUGAUGCUUACAUUCGGCAACACCAUUCUGAGCAUGAGCACCAGGACAUGAGAACUGGGCAAGAGUACCCUGUUCCGCGAGAAAACCACGCAAUAUCUGGGAGAUAUACUCUCCAGUGGAGUCAGCACGAAAAGUACGAAUGGGCGUGGAAAACUGGAUGCGAACCAUGGCAGCAAAUCGUUUGUAUAUAGAUAGAACCUUGCUACGAGAUUUCACUAAGUAGAGCUAAGUGUAGCGAGAGAAAUCAUCAAUAAACAGAACAUAGUAGCGAUGACCACCUUUCGAAUCAAAGGGAGCAGGACCCCAAACAUCAUAAUAAACUAACACUACUAGGAAAAACACUACCAGUAGCGUAGGUUUUUUGCAUACCAGCAUUGUGGGUUCCCGCGCUACUAUUAUGACGCUACAGCUAACCUUUAGCAGUAGCGCGUUUUUUACCCCGCGCUACAGCUAAAAAAGUUAGUAGUAGUGCGGUGCCACCCACGCUACCACUAUUCCAAACCUACACUACUACUAUCUAACUACUAGUAGCGCCCCAUUUACACCUACGCUACUACUAUCCAAGUACUAGUAGCACCACAUCUUUACCCCAUGCUACAACUAACUAACCAAAAAAUAAAGAAAUAAAAAUAGAAGUCAGAUGCAAUAUUCAUGGAUAGAAAUCAAGACACAUCCAGUGCAAAUAAACUAAGUUCACAGAACCAUCUUAGCACUUGCAGCAUUCAUGGAUACAACAUUGAACAUCUCAACUCGAGAUCUCGGAAUCCCAUUUAACAUCAGAUGCAAAUAACUAGACCACUUCUCUAGAUAUAUCUACCAAGUUUCGGAGUUGAAACGUCGGUGGAUCCGAGCAGUCCCUCCCAGCGGACGGUGGCGUCGAGGUCCUCCACCUCGGCGACCUCCGGCGUCGCAAUGACCUGGACGAUCAUCUGUGUGGCGCGAUCGUCGGGCUUCACGAUGAAGUCCGCCUCCGAGUGGUUGAAGAGCAUGACGCCCACCAGGCCGCGGUAGUCCACGUCGAUCACCCCCGCGCCCACGUCGGAAAGUGAAAAAUUGUUAGUUGGCGUCCACAUCCGCAUCCAGUAGGGUACUUUCUUUCUUUUUAGCACAUGCACAUGAAUCAAUAGCAAUGCAUAAUAACAAGAAAAAAUAACCACGAAUCCUAAAGAAAAAGAUCAUUCUUUGGGCCAGCUUGAUAGUUUCAAGGCACGGAAAGGAUAAUAUUGGUAAAAGUCUUCAUUAACAAGAAAAAUGGACCGAGAUUUCUCAAAUGACAUUUGUUUCACCAACAAUGAUUAAUGAAGAGGCAUGUAAGAUUUACCUGAGCAGCAUCAGCAUACCCUCUGAUCCUUGCAAGAACUUAAAGGCCAAGGUUCUUAGCUUUCUCCCUUUUGACUAGCACAAGUCCAGUAGCACCAUCAGCAUACCCUCUGAUCCUAACAAAUUGACUCGAUUACAUGAUAAAUCUCAUCCAACUUCAUCACUGUCCAGCAAGCCUAUGAAGGAAUUGAUCACCCCCGAUGGUGAGCAUCAUAGAAUUGGCAAUGAAGAAGGGUUGGCGAUGAUGAUGGCGACGAAUCCCCUCUCCGGUGCCCCGAACGGACUCCAGAUCAGCCCUCCCGAUGAACAACAUGAGGUAGCGACGACUACGUAUCAUAAAAUGUGAUGCAACUUCUUCUCUUAUUUUUUCUCGAGGAAAAGGAAUUUAUAGGCUUGAGAUUAGGGUCGGCAGAGCCACGUGGGCCCCACAAGGUAACAUGGCAUGCCUAAGGAGGGUGGUCGCGCCCUAUUGCCUUGUGGGCAACUGGUGCCCCCCUCAAGUGGACCCUCACUCUAGUAUUUUUUAUAUAUUCCAUAAAAAUCUCCAAAAAGUUUCGUAUGAUUCCGAUAACUUUUAUUUGUGCGCAAAAACAACACCAUGAUAGUUCUGCUGAAAACAUCGUCAGUUCGGCUUAGUUUCAUUCAAAUCAUGCAAAUUCGAGUUAAAAAACAAGAGAAAAAUUGUUUGGAAAUGUAGAUACGACAGAGACGUAUCACUGUCCUUCUCCUCCUCCUUUGGUGGCAGUCCGGCCAUGGCACGGACCGCCCAAUUCUGCUCUCGGGUGGGGCUACGCGUGUUCGUCUGCUACCGCUUCUUCACAAUGCGGGAGUGGAUGGCUUUGUCCUCGGUGGCCGCCCGCAUCACCACAUCAGUCGCCUUCGCGGCCGCCAUGUCGGGCCUCGGCGGGCCUUAUCCUCUCCUUCCCACGGAGGGCACACCAGUCCUGGUGGGACUCAUACUCCGCCCGACUGGUGAUGGGGAAGGAGAGAUUUGAAGGUUGUCGGGACCGCAGUGAUCCAGCCCCGAGGAUUCGAGCGCUCGUUCAGCCUACGCUAAGGAGUCGCGCCGGACAGGUCCUACCGUCGGCCGGGCGCUGUGCUCUCGGGAGCGGCGGAGUGCAAUGCAGAUGGACAUUGCCUCCUCCAACCCGCAUGGGAUUAUUUGUGUUCGCCUUUCCUUGUUUUUCACUGGAGAAUAAGUCUCUCUCCUGGAAAGGGUGAGGGGAUACAAAAGACUGGAAGGUAGAUUGUGGUGUCUAGCAAUCGGAUGAGAUGAUAGGUAGAUUGCGGUUGAAUUUUGUUUUCUGCACUUGCAUGUGGUCUGAUAAGAUGCUUUCCGUCCUGUUGGUGAUAUGUUUUGUGUAGGUUGCUGAUAUGUGUCUUGUAGCAUGGGAUUAUUCUUGUACUUAACAUUCAUUAUAUAACAGUCACAACCUAGAACGAUAAACAAUGAUUCCAAUUCAUCAAUGUAAUGUAGGCAUGCAUUCCGUCUAUAUAAUAAGAACUUGCAUGACAUCUUUUGUCCUACCCUCUCGUGGCAGCGGGGGUCCUUAAGGAAACUAAGGGAUAUGAAGGCCUCCUUUUAAUAGAGAACCGGAACGAAGCAUUAACACAUAAUGAAUAUAUGAACUCCUCGAAUUACAGUUAACCCCGGAGAGUAUCCCAAACAAUUGUCACUAUGGGGUGUACGGAUCAGAACAAUAAUAAGUGCAUAUAACUAGGAGAUAGGAUCAAAAAUUCAAAUAUAUUCAUGAAAACAUAAAAAGGGUUCAGAUAUAAAAUCAUGCCACUCGGGCCCUAGCGACAAGUAUUAAGCAUGGCAAAGUCAUAGCAAAAUCAAACACAGAACAUAGUGGAUACUAGGGAUCAAGUCCUAACAAACUGACUCGAUUACGACGAUAAAUCUCAUCCAACUCCAUCGUUGUCCAGCAAGCCUACGAAAGAAUUAAUCACCCUCGAUGGUGAGCAUCAUGGAGUUGGCAAUGAAGAAGGGUUAGCGAUGAUGAUGUCGACAGAUCCCCUCUUCGGAGCCCCGGACGAACUAUAGAUUAGCCCUCCCAAUGAAGAACAGAAGGUGGCGACGACUUCGUAUCGUAAAAUGCGAUGCAACUUUUUCUCUUGUUUUUUCUUGAGGAAAAGGAAUUUAUAGACUUGAGAUCAGGGUCAACAGAGCCAUGUGGGUCCCACAAGGUAACAAGGCGUGCCUAAGGAGGGUGGCCGCGCCCUUUUGCCUUGUGGGCAACUGGUGGCCCAUCUCGAGUGGACCCUCGCUCCAGUAUUUUUUAUAUAUUCCAUAAAAAUCUCCAAAAAGUUUUGUAUCAUUCCAAAAACUUUUAUUUCUGCACAAAAACAACACCAUGAUAGUUCUGCUGAAAACAAUAUCAGUUCGGGUUAGUUUCAUUCAAAUCAUGCAAAUUCGAGUUAAAAAACAAGAGAAAAAUUGUUUUGUCCUACCCUCUCGUGGCAGCGGGGCUCCUUAAGGAAACUAAGGGAUAUGAAGGCCUCCUUUUAAUAGAGAACCGGAACGAAGCAUUAACACAUAAUGAAUAUAUGAACUCCUCGAAUUACAGUCAACCCCGGAGAGUAUCCCAAACAAUUAUCACUAUGGGGUGUACGGAUCAGAACAAUAAUAAGUGCAUAUAACUAGGAGAUAGGAUAAAAAAUUCAAAUAUAUUCAUGAAAACAUAAAAAGGGUUCAGAUCUAAAAUCAUGCCACUUGGGCCCUAGCGACAAGUAUUAAGCAUGGCAAAGUCAUAGCAAAAUCAAACACAGAACGUAGUGGAUACUAGGGAUCAAGUCCUAACAAACUGACUCGAUUACGACGAUAAAUCUCAUCCAACUCCAUCGUUGUCCAGCAAGCCUACGAAAGAAUUAAUCACCCCCGAUGGUGAGCAUCAUGGAAUUGGCAAUGAAGAAGGGUUGGCGAUGAUGAUGUCGACGGAUCCCCUCUUCGGAGCCCCGGACGAACUACAGAUUAGCCCUCCCAAUGAAGAACAGAAGGUGGCGACGACUUCGUAUCGUAAAAUGCGAUGCAACUUUUUCUCUUGUUUUUUCUUGAGGAAACGGAAUUUAUAGACUUGAGAUCAGGGUCAACAGAGCCACGUGGGUCCCACAAGGUAACAAGGCGUGCCUAAGGAGGGUGGCCGCGCCCUUUUGCCUUGUGGGCAACUGGUGGCCCCCCUCGAGUGGACCCUCGCUCCAGUAUUUUUUAUAUAUUCCAUAAAAAUCUCCAAAAAGUUUUGUAUGAUUCCAAAAACUUUUAUUUCUGCACAAAAACAACACCAUGAUAGUUCUGCUGAAAACAAUGUCAGUUCGGGUUAGUUUCAUUCAAAUCAUGCAAAUUCGAGUUAAAAAUCAAGAGAAAAAUUGUUUUGUCCUACCCUCUCGUGGCAGCGGGGCUCCUUAAGGAAACUAAGGGAUAUGAAGGCCUCCUUUUAAUAGAGAACCGGAACGAAGCAUUAACACAUAAUGAAUAUAUGAACUCCUCGAAUUACAGUCAACCCCGGAGAGUAUCCCAAACAAUUGUCACUAUGGGGUGUACGGAUCAGAACAAUAAUAAGUGCAUAUAACUAGGAGAUAGGAUAAAAAAUUCAAAUAUAUUCAUGAAAACAUAAAAAGGGUUCAGAUCUAAAAUCAUGCCACUUGGGCCCUAGCGACAAGUAUUAAGCAUGGCAAAGUCAUAGCAAAAUCAAACACAGAACGUAGUGGAUACUAGGGAUCAAGUCCUAACAAACUGACUCGAUUACGGCGAUAAAUCUCAUCCAACUCCAUCGUUGUCCAGCAAGCCUACGAAAGAAUUAAUCACCCCCGAUGGUGAGCAUCAUGGAAUUGGCAAUGAAGAAGGGUUGGCGAUGAUGAUGUCGACGGAUCCCCUCUUCGGAGCACCGGACGAACUACAGAUUAGCCCUCCCAAUGAAGAACAGAAGGUGGCGACGACUUCGUAUCGUAAAAUGCGAUGCAACUUUUUCUCUUGUUUUUUCUUGAGGAAAAGGAAUUUAUAGACUUGAGAUCAGGGUCAACAGAGCCACGUGGGUCCCACAAGGUAACAAGGCGUGCCUAAGGAGGGUGGCCGCGCCCUUUUGCCUUGUGGGCAACUGGUGGACCCCCUCGAGUGGACCCUCGCUCCAGUAUUUUUUAUAUAUUCCAUAAAAAUCUCCAAAAAGUUUUGUAUCAUUCCAAAAACUUUUAUUUCUGCACAAAAACAACACCAUGAUAGUUUUGCUGAAAACAAUGUCAGUUCGGGUUAGUUUCAUUCAAAUCAUGCAAAUUCGAGUUAAAAAACAAGAGAAAAAUUGUUUUGUCCUACCCUCUCGUGGCAGCGGGGCUCCUUAAGGAAACUAAGGGAUAUGAAGGCCUCCUUUUUAUAGAGAACCGGAACGAAGCAUUAACACAUAAUGAAUAUAUGAACUCCUCGAAUUACAGUCAACCCCGGAAAGUAUCCCAAACAAUUGUCACUAUGGGGUGUACGGAUCAGAACAAUAAUAAGUGCAUAUAACUAGGAGAUAGGAUCAAAAAUUCAAAUAUAUUCAUCAAAACAUAAAAAGGGUUCAGAUCUAAAAUCAUGCCACUUGGGCCCUAGCGACAAGUAUUAAGCAUGGCAAAGUCACAGCAAAAUCAAACACAGAACGUAGUGGAUACUAGGGAUCAAGUCCUAACAAACUGACUCAAUUACGACGAUAAAUCUCAUCCAACUCCAUAGUUGUCCAGCAAGCCUACGAAAGAAUUAAUCACCCUCGAUGGUGAGCAUCAUGGAAUUGGCAAUGAAGAAGGGUUGGCGAUGAUGAUGUCGACGGAUCCCCUCUUCGGAGCCCCGGACGAACUACAGAUUAGCCCUCCCAAUGAAGAACAGAAGGUGGCGACGACUUCGUAUCGUAAAAUGCGAUGCAACUUUUUCUCUUGUUUUUUCUUGAGGAAAAGGAAUUUAUAGACUUGAGAUCAGGGUCAAUAGAGCCACGUGGGUCCCACAAGGUAACAAGGCGUGCCUAAGGAGGGUGGCCGCGCCCUUUUGCCUUGUGGGCAACUGGUGGCCCCCCUCGAGUGGACCCUCGCUCCAGUAUUUUUUAUAUAUUCCAUAAAAAUCUCCAAAAAGUUUUGUAUGAUUCCAAAAACUUUUAUUUCUGCACAAAAACAACACCAUGAUAGUUCUGCUGAAAACAAUGUCAGUUCGGGUUAGUUUCAUUCAAAUCAUGCAAAUUCGAGUUAAACAACAAGAGAAAAAUUGUUUUGUCCUACCCUCUCGUGGCAGCGGGGCUCCUUAAGGAAACUAAGGGAUAUGAAGGCCUCCUUUUAAUAGAGAACCGGAACGAAGCAUUAACACAUAAUGAAUAUAUGAACUCCUCGAAUUACAGUCAACCCCGGAGAGUAUCCCAAACAAUUGUCACUAUGGGGUAUACGGAUCAGAACAAUAAUAAGUGCAUAUAACUUGGAGAUAGGAUAAAAAAUUCAAAUAUAUUAAUGAAAACAUAAAAAGGGUUCAGAUCUAAAAUCAUGCCACUUGGGCCCUAGCGACAAGUAUUAAGCAUGGCAAAGUCAUAGCAAAAUCAAACACAGAACGUAGUGGAUACUAGGGAUCAAGUCCUAACAAACUGACUCGAUUACGACGAUAAAUCUCAUCCAACUCCAUCGUUGUCCAGCAAGCCUACGAAAGAAUUAAUCACCCCCGAUGGUGAGCAUCAUGGAAUUGGCAAUGAAGAAGGGUUGGCGAUGAUGAUGUCGACGGAUCCCCUCUUCGGAGCCCCGGACGAACUACAGAUUAGCCCUCCCAAUGAAGAACAGAAGGUGGCGACGACUUCGUAUCGUAAAAUGCGAUGCAACUUUUUCUCUUGUUUUUUCUUGAGGAAAAGGAAUUUAUAGACUUGAGAUCAAGGUCAAUAGAGCCACGUGGGUCCCACAAGGUAACAAGGCGUGCCUAAGGAGGGUGGCCGCGCCCUUUUGCCUUGUGGGCAACUGGUGGCCCCCCUCGAGUGGACCCUCGCUCCAGUAUUUUUUAUAUAUUCCAUAAAAAUCUCCAAAAAGUUUUGUAUGAUUCCAAAAACUUUUAUUUCUGCACAAAAACAACACCAUGAUAGUUCCGCUGAAAACAAUGUCAGUUCGGGUUAGUUUCAUUCAAAUCAUGCAAAUUCGAGUUAAACAACAAGAGAAAAAUUGUUUUGUCCUACCCUCUCGUGGCAGCGGGGCUCCUUAAGGAAACUAAGGGAUAUGAAGGCCUCCUUUUAAUAGAGAACCGGAACGAAGCAUUAACACAUAAUGAAUAUAUGAACUCCUCGAAUUACAGUCAACUCCGGAGAGUAUCCCAAACAAUUGUCACUAUGGGGUGUACGGAUCAGAACAAUAAUAAGUGCAUAUAACUAGGAGAUAGGAUAAAAAAUUCAAAUAUAUUCAUGAAAACAUAAAAAGGGUUCAGAUCUAAAAUAAUGCCACUUGGGCCCUAGCGACAAGUAUUAAGCAUGGCAAAGUCAUAGCAAAAUCAAACACAGAACGUAGUGGAUACUAGGGAUCAAGUCCUAACAAACUGACUCGAUUACGACGAUAAAUCUCAUCCAACUCCAUCGUUGUCCAGCAAGCCUACGAAAGAAUUAAUCACCCCCGAUGGUGAGCAUCAUGGAAUUGGCAAUGAAGAAGGGUUGGCGAUGAUGAUGUCGACGGAUCCCCUCUUCGGAGCCCCGGACGAACUACAGAUUAGCCCUCCCAAUGAAGAACAGAAGGUGGCGACGACUUCGUAUCGUAAAAUGCGAUGCAACUUUUUCUCUUGUUUUUUCUUGAGGAAAAGGAAUUUAUAGACUUGAGAUCAGGGUCAACAGAGCCACGUGGGUCCCACAAGGUAACAAGGCGUGCCUAAGGAGGGUGGCCGCGCCCUUUUGCCUUGUGGGCAACUGGUGGCCCCCCUCGAGUGGACCCUCGCUCCAGUAUUUUUUAUAUAUUCCAUAAAAAUCUCCAAAAAGUUUUGUAUGAUUCCAAAAACUUUUAUUUCUGCACAAAAACAACACCAUGGUAGUUCCGCUGAAAACAAUGUCAGUUCGGGUUAGUUUCAUUCAAAUCAUGCAAAUUCGAGUUAAAAAACAAGAGAAAAAUUGUUUUGUCCUACCCUCUCGUGGCAGCGGGGGUCCUUAAGGAAACUAAGGGAUAUGAAGGCCUCCUUUUAAUAGAGAACCGGAACGAAGCAUUAACACAUAAUGAAUAUAUGAACUCCUCGAAUUACAGUCAACCCCGGAGAGUAUCCCAAACAAUUGUCACUAUGGGGUGUACGGAUCAGAACAAUAAUAAGUGCAUAUAACUAGGAGAUAGGAUCAAAAAUUCAAAUAUAUUCAUGAAAACAUAAAAUGGGUUCAGAUAUAAAAUCAUGCCACUCGGGCCCUAGCGACAAGUAUUAAGCAUGGCAAAGUCAUAGCAAAAUCAAACACAGAACGUAGUGGAUACUAGGGAUCAAGUCCUAACAAACUGACUCGAUUACGACGAUAAAUCUCAUCCAACUCCAUCGUUGUCCAGCAAGCCUACGAAAGAAUUAAUCACCCCCGAUGGUGAGCAUCAUGGAAUUGGCAAUGAAGAAGGGUUGGCGAUGAUGAUGUCGACGGAUCCCCUCUUCGGAGCCCCGGACGAACUACAGAUUAGCCCUCCCAAUGAAGAACAGAAGGUGGCGACGACUUCGUAUCGUAAAAUGCGAUGCAACUUUUUCUCUUGUUUUUUCUUGAGGAAAAGGAAUUUAUAGACUUGAGAUCAGGGUCAACAGAGCCACGUGGGUCCCACAAGGUAACAAGGCGUGCCUAAGGAGGGUGGGCGCGCCCUUUUGCCUUGUGGGCAACUGGUGGCCCCCCUCGAGUGGACCCUCGCUCCAGUAUUUUUUAUAUAUUCCAUAAAAAUCUCCAAAAAGUUUUGUAUGAUUCCAAAAACUUUUAUUUCUGCACAAAAACAACACCAUGAUAGUUCCGCUGAAAACAAUGUCAGUUCGGGUUAGUUUCAUUCAAAUCAUGCAAAUUCGAGUUAAAAAACAAGAGAAAAAUUGUUUUGUCCUACCCUCUCGUGGCAGCGGGGGUCCUUAAGGAAACUAAGGGAUAUGAAGGCCUCCUUUUAAUAGAGAACCGGAACGAAGCAUUAACACAUAAUGAAUAUAUGAACUCCUCGAAUUACAGUCAACCCCGGAGAGUAUCCCAAACAAUUGUCACUAUGGGGUGUACGGAUCAGAACAAUAAUAAGUGCAUAUAACUAGGAGAUAGGAUCAAAAAUUCAAAUAUAUUCAUGAAAACAUAAAAAGGGUUCAGAUAUAAAAUCAUGCCACUCGGGCCCUAACGACAAGUAUUAAGCAUGGCAAAGUCAUAGCAAAAUCAAACACAGAACGUAGUGGAUACUAGGGAUCAAGUCCUAACAAACUGACUCGAUUACGACGAUAAAUCUCAUCCAACUCCAUUGUUGUCCAGCAAGCCUACGAAAGAAUUAAUCACCCCCGAUGGUGAGCAUCAUGGAAUUGGCAAUGAAGAAGGGUUGGCGAUGAUGAUGUCGACGGAUCCCCUCUUCGGAGCCCCGGACGAACUACAGAUUAGCCCUCCCAAUGAAGAACAGAAGGUGGCGACGACUUCGUAUCGUAAAAUGCAAUGCAACCUUUUCUCUUGUUUUUUCUUGAGGAAAAGGAAUUUAUAGACUUGAGAUCAGGGUCAACAGAGCCACGUGGGUCCCACAAGGUAACAAGGCGUGCCUAAGGAGGGUGGCCGCGCCCUUUUGCCUUGUGGGCAACUGGUGGCCCCCCUCGAGUGGACCCUCGCUCCAGUAUUUUUUAUAUAUUCCAUAAAAAUCUCCAAAAAGUUUUGUAUGAUUCCAAAAACUUUUAUUUCUGCACAAAAACAACACCAUGAUAGUUCCGCUGAAAACAAUGUCAGUUCGGGUUAGUUUCAUUCAAAUCAUGCAAAUUCGAGUUAAAAAACAAGAGAAAAAUUGUUUUGUCCUACCCUCUCGUGGCAGCGGAGGUCCUUAAGGAAACUAAGGGAUAUGAAGGCCUCCUUUUAAUAGAGAACCGGAACGAAGCAUUAACACAUAAUGAAUAUAUGAACUCUUCGAAUUACAGUCAACCCCGGAGAGUAUCCCAAACAAUUGUCACUAUGGGGUGUACGGAUCAGAACAAUAAUAAGUGCAUAUAACUAGGAGAUAGGAUCAAAAAUUCAAAUAUAUUCAUGAAAACAUAAAAAGGGUUCAGAUAUAAAAUCAUGCCACUCGGGCCCUAGCGACAAGUAUUAAGCAUGGCAAAGUCAUAGCAAAAUCAAACACAGAACGUAGUGGAUACUAGGGAUCAAGUCCUAACAAACUGACUCGAUUACGACGAUAAAUCUCAUCCAACUCCAUCGUUGUCCAGCAAGCCUACGAAAGAAUUAAUCACCCCCGAUGGUGAGCAUCAUGGAAUUGGCAAUGAAGAAGGGUUGGUGAUGAUGAUGUCGACGGAUCCCCUCUUCGGAGCCCCGGACGAACUACAGAUUAGCCCUCCCAAUGAAGAACAGAAGGUGGCGACGACUUCGUAUCGUAAAAUGCGAUGCAACUUUUUCUCUUGUUUUUUCUUGAGGAAAAGGAAUUUAUAGACUUGAGAUCAGGGUCAAUAGAGCCACGUGGGUCCCACAAGGUAACAAGGCGUGCCUAAGGAGGGUGGCCGCGCCCUUUUGCCUUGUGGGCAACUGGUGGCCCCCCUCGAGUGGACCCUCGCUCCAGUAUUUUUUAUAUAUUCCAUAAAAAUCUCCAAAAAGUUUUGUAUGAUUCCAAAAACUUUUAUUUCUGCACAAAAUCAACACCAUGAUAGUUCCGCUGAAAACAAUGUCAGUUCGGGUUAGUUUCAUUCAAAUCAUGCAAAUUCGAGUUAAAAAACAAGAGAAAAAUUGUUUUGUCCUACCCUCUCGUGGCAGCGGGGGUCCUUAAGGAAACUAAGGGAUAUGAAGGCCUCCUUUUAAUAGAGAACCGGAACGAAGCAUUAACACAUAAUGAAUAUAUGAACUCCUCGAAUUACAGUCAACCCCGGAGAGUAUCCCAAACAAUUGUCACUAUGGGGUGCACGGAUCAGAACAAUAAUAAGUGCAUAUAACUAGGAGAUAGGAUAAAUAAUUCAAAUAUAUUCAUGAAAACAUAAAAAGGGUUCAGAUCUAAAAUCAUGCCACUUGGGCCCUAGCGACAAGUAUUAAGCAUGGUAAAGUCAUAGCAAAAUCAAACACAGAACGUAGUGGAUACUAGGGAUCAAGUCCUAACAAACUGACUCGAUUACGACGAUAAAUCUCAUCCAACUCCAUCGUUGUCCAGCAAGCCUACGAAAGAAUUAAUCACCCCCGAUGGUGAGCAUCAUGGAAUUGGCAAUGAAGAAGGGUUGGCGAUGAUGAUGUCGACGGAUCCCCUCUUCGGAGCCCCGGACGAACUACAGAUUAGCCCUCCCAAUGAAGAACAGAAGGUGGCGACGACUUCGUAUCGUAAAAUGCGAUGCAACUUUUUCUCUUGUUUUUUCUUGAGGAAAAGGAAUUUAUAGACUUGAGAUCAGGGUCAACAGAGCCACGUGGGUCCCACAAGGUAACAAGGCGUGCCUAAGGAGGGUGGCCGCGCCCUUUUGCCUUGUGGGCAACUGGUGGCCCCCCUCGAGUGGACCCUCGCUCCAGUAUUUUUUAUAUAUUCCAUAAAAAUCUCCAAAAAGUUUUGUAUGAUUCCAAAAACUUUUAUUUCUGCACAAAAUCAACACCAUGAUAGUUCUGCUGAAAACAAUGUCAGUUCGGGUUAGUUUCAUUCAAAUCAUGCAAAUUCGAGUUAAAAAACAAGAGAAAUAUUGUUUUGUCCUACCCUCUCGUGGCAGCGGGGGUCCUUAAGGAAACUAAGGGAUAUGAAGGCCUCCUUUUAAUAGAGAACCGGAACGAAGCAUUAACACAUAAUGAAUAUAUGAACUCCUCGAAUUACAGUCAACCCCGGAGAGUAUCCCAAACAAUUGUCACUAUGGGGUGUACGGAUCAGAACAAUAAUAAGUGCAUAUAACUAGGAGAUAGGAUAAAAAUUUCAAAUAUAUUCAUGAAAACAUAAAAAGGGUUCAGAUCUAAAAUCAUGCCACUUGGGCCCUAGCGACAAGUAUUAAGCAUGGCAAAGUCAUAGCAAAAUCAAACACAGAACGUAGUGGAUACUAGGGAUCAAGUCCUAACAAACUGACUCGAUUACGACGAUAAAUCUCAUCCAACUCCAUCGUUGUCCAGCAAGCCUACGAAAGAAUUAAUCACCCCCGAUGGUGAGCAUCAUGGAAUUGGCAAUGAAGAAGGGUUGGCGAUGAUGAUGUCGACGGAUCCCCUCUUCGGAGCCCCGGACGAACUACAGAUUAGCCCUCCCAAUGAAGAACAGAAGGUGGCGACGACUUCGUAUCGUAAAAUGCAAUGCCACUUUUUCUCUUGUUUUUUCUUGAGGAAAAGGAAUUUAUAGACUUGAGAUCAGGGUCAACAGAGCCACGUGGGUCCCACAAGGUAACAAGGCGUGCCUAAGGAGGGUGGGCGCGCCCUUUUGCCUUGUGGGCAACUGGUGGCCCCCCUCGAGUGGACCCUCGCUCCAGUAUUUUUUAUAUAUUCCAUAAAAAUCUUCAAAAAGUUUUGUAUGAUUCCAAAAACUUUUAUUUCUGCAUAAAAACAACACCAUGAUAGUUCUGCUGAAAACAAUGUCAGUUCGGGUUAGUUUCAUUGAAAUCAUGCAAAUUCGAGUUAAAAAACAAGAGAAAAUAAAAGUUGCCCUGCCUGCCCUGCCCUGCCCUGCCCUGCCCCCUGGAUUCAUUCAUUCAUUCAUUCUCCCUCCCCUCCUUCCUUCCUACCUAAUCCUAGAGGAGCAUAGCUAGGGUUCCUCCCCGCAGCCGUCGCCUCCUCUCCUCUCCUCACCCCGCCGCCGCCGGCCAACGAGAUCCAGCCAGCGAGAUCCGACCGACGCCGUCUCCGUCUCCGUCUCCGCCUCGCCGCCGCCGCCUGGUAAGCUCAAGCUCCUCGCCGCCUUCCUUGUUCAGAUCGGCCAGCCCAGCCCAGCCGUCCAUGGAGGAGAGGAGAGGAGAGGAGAGGAGAGGAGAUGGAUCCCCUCGCUCGCUCGCUCCCUCCCAAUCGCUCGGUCGGUCGGUUGUUGCUGUUCGAUUCGAUGCCAAACUAGUACUAGUAUAGAUCUGAAACUAAUAAUUUAUUUUUAUUUUUAUUUGAUUUGAUUUAUUAAUGGAUUGAAACAACUCUUUCACCAUAUUUAUAUAUAUGCAGAUUAGAUUUGAUUUUAUUUUAUUUACAGACAGAUAGAUAUGGAUAUAGUAGCUCAUGUACCACCAUAAUAUGCUGCUGUUGCUUUUAUUAUAUUAUUAUUAUACAUCUAUAUCUAUCUAUCUAAGAUUUUUUGCUCCCUCAUGUUAUGUCAUAGUGCUUGCUAUAUACUACAUCUGCCUGUGGUCUGCUCUGACUGCUUGCCAUGUCAUGUGCUCACACUCUUCUUCUUCUUGUUUGAUUUCAGCUUCGGCAUGUCGCAUUCCAACGAAGUAAGGUCGGUCCACUACACUACACUUGCUUUCAUUUCUCCCCUAACAGACCAUCAUCACAUCUCCGCUACAGCCAUGUCAUCAAAAGAUGCUCCAAUUUAUCUCUUCUUAUCACUUUGACUUUGGUUUGCUGCUCUAUUCUUGUCCACACUGUAAAAAGGGAGAAACCCUGCCUUUGUUGUUUUCAGGUACACCGCGCGCUCCAUCACGCCUCCGGCAGACAGGGACAGCGGCUCCAAGUCGCCCCCACCACGGAGGCGCGCGGCUUCCAAGUCGCCCCCACCACGGAGGCGCGCGGCUUCCAAGUCGCCUCCCCUGCCUCCCCCUCCCCCUUUCCCUCCCAAGGGGGUGCGCACCAUCUCGAGGUCGCCUCCACCUAGUAGUAGAAGACGCAGCGUCUCGAGGUCCCCUCCACCAAAGAGGCGCGGCAGGUCCAGGUCCAGGUCCAGGUCCAGGAACAGGAGCCGCUCCAGGCAAGUCGUCAUCGGUUUGAUGUUUAUUUCUUUGUACCAUAUAAUAGACCAUCCAUGUUUAUGUGUCAUUUUGCUAGUGAUGAUGGAUAAUGCUGCUGCUUCUUCUGAUGAUGUAUUACAGUUAUGUAUGUAUAUAGCUGGUCAAAAACAAUAGUUGCUUAAUGAUGUACAUCAUCACAAAGAUACUGAUAUUGACAUCGCUUCUCUUCUCUUCUCCUAAUAAUAUGUAUGUUUCAGGAGCAGAGACAAAGACGAUGUGAGGAAUCCUGGCAACAACCUCUAUGUCACUGGACUGUCCACACGGACGCAGGAAACUGACCUGGAGAAGUUCUUCAGCAAAGAGGGCAAGGUACUCUGUCUGUCCUCUGCUUUGUUCCUUCAUGCCUGAUGAUGCCUGCCACGAUGCUUCUCCUUUUAUCUGGGAUGGGGCUGCUUGUUCAUUGCGUGAUUCUUAUUUCACUAAACCUGACGCGCGAUGCGGCAAAACUGCAGGUUAAAGACUGCCGUGUCGUUAUCGAUCCUCGUACGAAAGAAUCACGUGGCUUUGCGUUCGUGACCAUGGAGAAUGUUGAGGAUGCAAGGCGCUGCAUCAAGUACCUGCACCGUACUGUACUUGAAGGCCGCCUCAUCAGUGUGGCAAAGGUAUAAACAAACUUCUCUGCGUGUAACAACCUUGAUGCUAACUUGUGUCACACAACCAUCUUCUUCUUUGCAUUUGCAUAUGCGUUUAAGGUAGUUCCUGUUACCAGGUAGUCAUAGCUUUCUGGGCCAACUUUAUCUGGAAUAAGCCACACAUCCUAGGAUGCAGUUUACAAGUUAAGAGCUCAGUAGUUCAACACCAGAACGAGCCCAUUACAGGCCUUCCUUUUAUGCUGCUUUCUAGUCAACUAAAUAUAUCUUGAUCUCUAACAUCUUCUUCUAUACAUAUGAAAACCUUGACCAAUAUGGUUAUAAACUCGGUCAAGUGUCCCUGAAAAAUCUGCCAGAGCAAAUUGAUUCUUAGAAACACUGAUGUGAAAACUGAAAACUAUCAUGUUCUUUCCAUAUCCACUUCAGCAGUAAGGUAGUUCUUGUUACAUGAUGAUCUUGACUUACAUUUUUUACCUUUUCUACUGCCAACUUUUUGGGUCAACUUUAUCUGGGAAUAAGCCACAAACCCUAGGACACAGCUUACAAGUUACGAACUAUUGAUUUCAAUACCAUAAUGAGGCCAUUACAGACCUUUCUUGUGUCGCAUCUAGUCUAAAACACAGUAUGUCUUGGGACAUAUUGUUUUGUAAAUAUCAAAACCCUGACCAGUUUUGUAUCUAACAUCUUGUUCCAACUUUUAAGUGUCCCUGAAAAUCAGCCAGAGUAUUGAGUAGUUCUUAGAAACACUGAUUUAUUUGGGUUCAUUGCUAUCCAUAUAUAUAUUGGGGUGUCCUGAAUAAUUUGAUUCAUCAGGAGAGAAUUGUUUGGUUAUGCUCGUUAACAUUUUCAGUGCAGGAAAUAAAAAAGUACCUUGUUUUCUGUGUUCCUUUGCUUUUUUUUUGUGCUGAUUUCCACGACCAUGCAGCUUCCACACUGCUGGGCUAGCAUUAAUUCUAGUCAGUGUUCUGUGUAGAAUUAUUGAACUAAAUGCUGGCUGCACCCACCUGUUGGUUUGUACAACCUCUUCUUCAACCUUACAAUCUGUUGCCUCUCGAAUCUCCAUCACCCUCACGAACAUCACCAUCACGCUCGUGAUCAUCGCCUACUACGCUGUCUGCACCGACUUCGAGUGAGAGCACGGCUCGGAACGCUGCACUGCUACGCGUCACCACCGACCGACCGAGCACCUCAUUCUGGGGACCUUGGAGUGAGAGCGCGGCUCUCGAGGCUGCACUGCUACGCGUCACCACCAACCGACCGAGCACCUCAAGUCAUUCUGGCGAUCUUCGAGUGAGAGCGUGGCUCUCAAGGCUGCACUGCUACGCGUCACCACCGACGGACCGAGCACCCAAGUCAUGCUGGUGAUCUUGGAGUGAGAGCACGGCUCUCAAACGCUGCACUGCUAUGCGUCGCCACCGACUGACCGAGCACCUCAAGUCAUGCUGGUGAUCUUGGAGUGAGAGCGCAGCUCUCAAGGCUGCACUGCUACGCGUCACCACCGACCGACCGGGCACCUCAAGCUACUCUGGUGAUCCUGGAGUGAGAGCGCGGCUCUCAAGGCUGCACUGCUGCGCGUCACCUCCGACAGACCGAGCACCAAAAGUCAUUCUGGUGUUCUUGGAGUGAGAGCUAUGCGUCACCACCGUAGACCUCCCCGUGUUACGUGUAGCUACUGUGGUACGUGGUACUACAUUGUUGGAGCUACUGUGGUAAGUGUAGCUGGUGUUGGAUGUCUUCAGCGCGCCUUCCGUCAGGGCCAGUUUGAUGCACAUUUCAUUCAUUGCCUCGAGUAAAAUUAUUUAUUAAUGCAGAAUGAUUAUGAUCCAUGCAUUCGAAUUCGUAUUCGCUGACGACCUUGUGAAUUGCAGGCAAAGAGAACUCGUGAGAGGACCCCUACCCCUGGAGAAUACUGUGGUCCGAGAGGUAUGCAUGGAGACGAGUUUUGCUUCCCGCGGUUGCAUUUGAAAUAGAUGCUUUGCUUCCUGUUAUUGAUAUUUUUUUCUGUAGGCUGUCUUGUCUGUAUUAUAGCAUGAGUUUCUUGUACUUGCCUUUGCUUUGAUUAGAUUCCUAGCAUUUGGAGUAGCUUAUUAUCCCACGGUUGACUUUAGCCGACACGAUGGGAUGUGUAUUUUUAAUUCUCCAGUGGUGUCAUGUUAGAUUAAUUCACAGCAUCGUUGUUCCUCUUGGUUCACUGGAACACUUUUCAUGUAACCAGAGGUUUUAGUAUGAACAUUGUAUGGCUGUCUUGUUUUACACUGGAGAUUAGUUAGUCUCCUGGGAAGGAUGGGAUACCAAGAUUGCGGUCAGGUUAGAUGAUUUGUACUGCGGUUGUCUGAUCUGUCUUGUAGCAUGAUUUUUUUUUUACUUGCCGUGGCUUUGCUCAGAUUCCUAUAAUUUAGAGAAGCUUAUUAUUCUAUGAUUAACUCUGGCCAACACGAUGGGCUGUGCAUUUUUAAUUUUCCAGCGGUGUGAUUUUAGAUUAGUUUGGUUCACUAGAACACUUUACCAGUCGUCGCAGGUUUUAGUAUGAAGAAUGCGUUGUUAUUUGUGUCCACCUUUCCUUGUUUUUCACUGGAGAAUAAGUCUCUCUCCUGGGAAGGGUGAGGGGAUACAAAAGACUGCAAGGUAGAUUGUGGUGUCUAGCAAUCAGAUGAGAUGAUAGGUAGACUGCGGUUGAAUUUUGUUUUCUGCACUUGCAUGUGGUCUGAUAAGAUGCUUUCCGUCCUGUUGGUGAUAUAUAUUUUGCAUGGUGUAGGUUGUUGUGGAUCUUUUUCUUAUAAUGACCACUUGCAUCAUUCUAGAUCCAUUUACAGGAUUGGUACUCUUGUUGUUUCACUGGAGCACCACUGCUCCAAUCAUCUUUAGUAUGAACAUGGGUGCAUAGUACAGUAUUAUUUAAUUUGCGUCUGUCCUACUAUUAUGGUUUUGUACCAAGCAUUUAAGAAUCCGGAUCGGAUUUGUAUGCAUGCAGGCGGGCGCUCCCGGGUGGAGCCGCGGCGGAGCCGUUCUCCACGCCGUUCCAGCAGGUCGUCGAGGGACCGGUCAAGGUCGCCGGCCGCAAGGAGGGACAGGGACAGCAGGGACAGGAAGCGCGACUGAAUGAAACAAGGCAAGGGGAGAAACAAAAUGAUGCUAAAAUCACAUAUCGCCGCGAGUUGUCGAGUAUGAAUGUGUCUUGGAUUCUUUGUUGCUGAAUGAAUGUUUGUUUGAUGAAGGAGGACUCUAGUCAGUAUUUCUGCUGGAUGCUUUCUUUAGAUAAGCAGCUGAUUUGUCUUGUCUUUCUGUUUUAUCAGAGGAGAGGAUUUCCCUAACAUUCAUUUCUUUUUAGGUUUUGUGUUGUGUAUGGACGAUGAAGGCGCAUUUCGUGUUUUUAAGGUUUCUCGCUAUCGAAUCGGAUGCGUCUAUUUGGUUGUAUGAGCACCUUUGUCUUGUCUUGGCUGGAUGCUAACAUUAUUAUUAUUAUUAUUAUGUCUGUGAUGGUAUGCAAAAAAUUUGAAUUUGUGUCUGAUAUCAUCAUCUACAAUACGACAGUUGCUUAAGCCUUUUUGUUUGUUAGCAAAGAGUAUCCCUCCUUGUGUCUCAUAAUAUAAAAACGACGUUUUUGACGCUAGCCUAGUGUUAUGGGAGAAAUACUCCCUGGUUAAAUAGA